rnacentral:lncRNA from 1 species
GUAAUCUUUGUGAGGGUGAGGAAUUUUCAGGGUACUAUGGAAGCCCCUAAAACAACUUGGGGAGUCAGAAAUGGCUUCCAGGGAGAACUGCUAUUUGAGACAAAACCUAAAGAAUAACAAGGGUUGGCUGGGCCAUAAGGAUGGGGCGAAGAUGUCAGGUAGAGGUGCAGGAGGAGGUAUCUUGCUCUAGUUCAAGAGCAGAUAUUUGAGAGAGCUUGUUAAAGGACAGGCUGGAGAGUGAAGGGAGAGCUUACAAGCCAUUUCUCAGAGUUUAGCCUUCACACCAUCCCUGUAUUGGCAAACAGCAAUGGCAAGUAUUAAAUCAUGGGGAGAUUAGGCACAGACAACACAUCGAUAAAACCAAACCAGGUUUACUUACCUGAAUAAGGAAGAAACUCAAAAUACAGAGAUAACUGUAUUAUCCAAGACCAAGAUACAAGCUUCUGGCCACUGAAUUCUGCAUGAGAGGGUACACAGCUAAAAGUGAAAACAUGAAUGAGUAAAGGUCACACCAGACCCUCUGGAGACCUGAUUUUCUCCCCCAUUUUUAGCCUACCACAGAGGGUCUCAUUUAAUUCUUUCAGCAACAUAAGCUCCACAUGUCUAUACCCACCAGUGGAAGGCAGUCAGUUUGACCAGCCCUAGUGAAGCCUUCAGACGUUCCCUGCUGAUUCUGCACUGCCCUGAGAGACCCAAGGGACCGUCCGUACGAUACCUUUCAAGUUUCCUUUAAGGGCAUAUACAGCUCUGUAAUGAACAUCUUCAGCUUCUUCAGAACAUUUCUCACAGGAUGAGCCAAGGACCAAAAGAAAUCAGACCACAGUCUCAUUUUCUAGUAAGAAAAUCCUCUGAUAGAAUCAUGGCCAGUGGUUGAGAUAAAUUAUAGAAGCUUGAUGUAUGUCAUCAAAGCAGUCUUUGCUUCAUUAAAACACAAUAAUGGUCCCUUAAAAAUAGGAUUGUGUUAAUAAAUUGAUGCAUGAACAAUUUCCAGGAGCAUAUCUUAAAGUGAAACUCACCUCAAAUAUUUGUCUAAGGAGAAGCAAACUAGUGGCUGUGGUAAAACUGGUUAACCAGUUCUACUUAAAGUCCUCUCUUGUAUUAAGUCCCUUUGCCUGGGACUCUAUUUCCCUGUUAUAUUUCUGCCCCAGACCUAUCAGAUCACCUUUCUUAUUUUCCAGGCAUUUGGAAACUAUCUUUUUCAAUCACUUUUCUUUUGUUCAAUGUGGUGUGCGUCAUAAAAAUAAAGGAGAGGGUCUCCAUAGAUAGACUGUAAUUGUGAACAGUUUCAAAGAAGUUUUAAAUAACUCCCUGAUUCUUAGAAUCAAUUUAAAAUAAGCGAUGUUGUAUGGGCAUGAGUGCUUCUUGGGGAGAUUGGUAAUGCUCCCUCGGCUAGCAGUGGAGUAGCUGAGCUAACAAGGAGUUCCUGGUGCCAGGUGGGUCUUUGCACACUGAAUUCGUGUCUGUAGGGAGAAGCAGCUGCCGCUCAGAUCUGAACUGGGAAGAGAUGACUUUAACCUUGGGCAAUAACUAGAGUUCUGAAUGGCAGCUGCUCUGCAAGAUUGAGGAAAUAACAGAGGUUCUCAGGCAGCAUAAUUGGAUACCAGCAUAAGUUGUUGUUUUGUUUUUUUUUUAAGAGAGGGAGAGAGAAAAAAAGGUAUGGAAAAGAGAGGAAGAGGAAGGAGAAGAAAAAGGAGAAAAAUGGUCAGUCUUCGUUAAAUGCCUCUCUAGAAAUAGGCGGAGGUCGAACUCUCCAUGGGUGGUUUGCAUGGAUGCAGCAGAGGUGACUCACGUUUGCCGAUCUUAAGAGCUGUACAGAUGGCUGGGAGUGGCCGAUUAAAACCUCCUUGACAACUCCUCGGAGACUGAAGACCACCCACCUCCAUCUUCACUGGGAGCAAAUGGACUGUAGAGUGAGCAACAUGGUUUCUGACCUGAUCCUCAGGCCAGGGGGUAAACAAAGGCAGCUUGACCUUUUGCUAAACAGAGUGUCCGGGAAAAUAAUCCUCAGCUUGUUUUGAAUGCACGCUGGACAGAGAAUUACUGGUAAUUUUGUGAACCGGUAGGUCUCUGCACUGCAAUAAGAAGCCACCGUAACUGGGUCCUCGUGGUGUGACUGAUUCAUUUUCAGUCUACCCAGACUGUCCUGGUUUUAAAAUGGAAAAUCCUACAACCUGGGAAUCCCCUUAGUUCACUGCAAACCAACAAUUGGUCAUCUUUGCUCUCCUCACAAAGAGUAAGAUGCAAGGCCAAAUUUUGGCUUGAAUGCUGUUCCAGGUUCUCCACAGUUGGUGAAAAAUCAUUGAAUGAGAAAAUGUGCAGGAUGAAAGGGAUAUUAGUAACUACCUGAUCCAGUAGUUCUCAAACUUCAGUGUGUAUCAGAACCCCCUGGGCUGCUUAUUGAAAAUGUAAAUGUCUGGGUUCUAUUGCAAAAAUCUGAUUCCAUCCAUAUGUCUUAGGUAGGGUCCCAAAUUCUGCAAUUUUAUAAGCACCUUAGAUGACUCUGAUUAUACAUGGUCCAAGGACCUAUGUUUGGAAAGCAGGGAUUUAAUUACAGCUCAUUUUAUGGAUAAGAAGUCUAUGUUGCCUGAAGCCACACAAUACGCAACUGCAACCUGGUCUAAAAUAAAGCCUCAAAUAUGCACUCCACUCCUGG